UCCUUUUUGAGCAAGCGUUGUUCGGAUUUACUGGGCGUAAAGGGCGCGUAGGCGGCGCAACAAGUCACUUGUGAAAUCUCCGGGCUUAACUCGGAACGGUCAAGUGAUACUGUUGUGCUAGAGUGCGGAAGGGGCAACUGGAAUUCUCGGUGUAGCGGUGAAAUGCGUAGAUAUCGAGAGGAACACCUGCGGCGAAGGCGGGUUGCUGGGCCGACACUGACGCUGAUGCGCGAAAGCCAGGGGAGCGAACGGG
rnacentral:rRNA from 1 species